UCUCCUGCUUAGUGCUGCGUGUCCCUCCCUGUCCCUCUCUGUCUCCCUUUUUCUCGCUCUCUGGUGCAUGCUUGCCCACUCAUCCUCCGUCCCCAUCUCUCCUCCCUUUCUGGCACUGUGUGUCUGUCUGGUGGGCUCUCUCUAUCUGGUGUGCUUGUGAGCACAGGCUCUGUGUGGCAUUCUGUUUCUGUGUGUUUCUCU
rnacentral:lncRNA from 1 species